rnacentral:sRNA from 1 species
GUUUGCACUCAUCGGGGAAGGGUGAGAACCUUCGACUAAGGUUCGAUUCUAGCGAAAGCGAGAGAACGUUGCCACAGGCAACGGCCCGAAGGGUGAGGAGCGAAGCGACGAAUAAUCCUUCCCCCACCACCA